UACGAAGGGGGCUAGCGUUGCUCGGAAUCACUGGGCGUAAAGCGCACGUAGGCGGAUUGUUAAGUCAGGGGUGAAAUCCUGGAGCUCAACUCCAGAACUGCCUUUGAUACUGACGGUCUUGAGUCCGGGAGAGGUGAGUGGAACUCCGAGUGUAGAGGUGAAAUUCGUAGAUAUUCGGAAGAACACCAGUGGCGAAGGCGGCUCACUGGCCCGGUACUGACGCUGAGGUGCGAAAGCGUGGGGAGCGAUCCGG
rnacentral:rRNA from 1 species